UGGGGAAUCUUGCACAAUGGGGGCAACCCUGAUGCAGCGACGCCGCGUGAGCGAUGAAGCCCUUCGGGGCGUAAAGCUCUUUCGACCGGAACGAUAAUGACGGUACCGGGAGAAGAAGCUGCGGCUAACUACGUGCCAGCAGCCGCGGUAAUACGUAGGCAGCAAGCGUUGUUCGGAGUUACUGGGCGUAAAGAGUGCGUAGGCGGUUUUCUAAGUUCGGUGUGAAAUCUCCCGGCUUAACUGGGAGGGUGCGCCGAAGACUGGGAAGCUGGAGUGUGGGAAAGGCAGGCGGAAUUCCUGGUGUAGCGGUGAAAUGCGUGGAUAUCAGGAGGAACACCGGCGGUGUAGACGGCUUGCUAGACCAUAACUGACGCUGAGGCACGAAAGCGUGGGUAGCAAACA
rnacentral:rRNA from 1 species